AUACGUAGGUGACAAGCGUUAUCCGGAUUUACUGGGCGUAAAGGGCGUGUAGGCGGUCUUGCAAGUCAGAAGUGAAAUUCCUGAGCUCAACUCGGGCGCUGCUUCUGAAACUGCAGGACUUGAGUGCUGGAGGGGAUAGCGGAAUUCCUAGUGGAGCGGUAAAAUGCGCAGAUAUUAGGAAGAACACCGGUGGCGAAGGCGGCUAUCUGGACAGUAACUGACGCUGAGGCGCGAAAGCGUGGGGAGCAAACAGGAUUAGAUACCCUGGUAGUCCGUGCCGUAAACGAUGAAUACUAGGUGUAGGGGGUAUCGACUCCCUCUGUGCCGCAGUUAACACAUUAAGUAUUCCACCUGGGGAGUACGGCCGCAAGGUUGAAACUCAAAUGAAUUGGCGGGG
rnacentral:rRNA from 1 species